rnacentral:misc_RNA from 1 species
GAUGAAGAACGCAGCGAAAUGCGAUAAGUAAUGUGAAUUGCAGAAUCCAGUGAAUCAUCGAAUCUUUGAACGCACAUUGCGCCCGCCAGUAUUCUGGCGGGCAUGCCUGUUCGAGCGUCAUUACAACCCUCAGGCCCCCGGGCCUGGCGUUGGGGAUCGGCGGAGCCCCCCGUGGGCACACGCCGUCCCCCAAAUGCAGUGGCGGUCCCGCCGCAGCUUCCAUCGCGUAGUAGCUAACACCUCGCGACUGGAGAGCGGCGCGGCCACGCCGUAAAACACCCAACUCUUCUGAAGUUGACCUCGAAUCAGGUAGGAAUACCCGCUGAACUUAAGCAUAUCAAUAAGCGGAGGA